CGUGCGCGUGCGCGGCCUGGCGCUUCAUCAGGCUCCCGACCUCCAUCUCACCAUCUAACUGGGACCGGGCCCAGUCCCGGCAGCUCUUUCCGGUUUCCUCUGGCAGCCACAUGCAGCCCAGCAGCAAGCCUGUCAGCUCCAGGGCACCGCCCGGCCGCAGGCCCUCUCCGCCACCUAGCACAGGGAGCGCGCUGCUGCCCAGUGGCGCCUGACUUCCUCACUGCCCUUGGCUCUGGCCACCUGGCCUUCCUGCCUGCCCCAAAGGCCCCAGCGGCUUCUGUCUCGGGCCCUUUGCACCUGCUCCCCUCCAUCUGGACAGCUUCCCCAUGUCACCUGUGGAGAGCUGCGUGUGCCGCGCCUUAAAGAUGGCGCUGGUUUCCGCCUUCCGCCAUCCCGACGGCGAGAGCUCUUUAUGAUAAACAACUCCUUAUUUGGCUGUGAUGUGUCUGAUGCUCUGCCCCCUCUUACGUGUACCUAUCCGCAUUCGCCACAUGACUAUCCGUGAUUGGUUGGUUCAGGGGUACUUAUUCUAGGGACGGGUGCUCCCCAGGGGUAGAAGAAAAAGAAUGUUAAGUUUUCCUGAAUAAACUGCUAGAAGAAGA